ACUUCCAGCAGCUUCCAGACCGGCCAGGGCGGCCCUGCCCCGCCCCUUCCCUUGAGGCCCCGCCCCGCCCUCUGCGGCCUGGGCUGUGCCUCCGCGGUGGCUCCGCCCCUCAACCGCACUGCUGGGAUCCUGGUGUCCAACUGCCUAGAUCUGGGAAGAGUCGGGUCUCCCAGGACUCCUGCAGGGUGGCAGGAGUUCUUGGAGGCAGCAUGAGGACGCUGGUCAGAGUGUGGCCCGCUCCAGGUGCCAGAAGCAAGUCGUUCCCCUUCGGCUGUGGCCCAGGAGCCUCAAGGCCAUGGGCCUGCCUAGGGAGUGCCAGAGGGACGCCCUUCUCUGCUGUCUCUGCCACGUUUGCGUGCUCUCCAGCUGUGACAAAUGGAAAUUUGUGUUCAUUUUCCGUUUCUUGGAGAGUCUGAAAAGCGAUUGUUGUGUAUCGAUCCCACAACUUGGACCUGCAGAAAAAUGAUGUGUGAAAAGAGUGGUCCUGGGCAUCCCUGUCUCCUUUCUGAUCAGAAAAAGAAUCCUUCAUCAUUGAGCAUAUUUACUGUCUCUGCUCCCUACUUGUGAUACAUCUUAAACUGAAUAAGUAUCAGAUUUUUUUUGGCAUCUAUUGAAAAUAUUGUUUUUAAAAUUUCCUUUAUCGAUAUUUUAAAUUCAUUAAUAGACUUACUAAUGUUACACUGAGAUUAUCUAUUUUAAGUUUUGUAGAACCCAUCUAUAAAACUGCCUGCUGUUUCUGUUGUUUUGUAUAUGAAAACAUUUUAGGGGCUUCCCUGAUGGUCCAGUG